GACUCUCCUCCUGACAAUCUCCCUCUCAAACAAAACGAGCGACCUUGAAUCAAGACUGAACUCAAUGGAAACUAACCAAUUGGACAAAAAACAAGAUGAAACAAACAUCAUCGUUUUUCAACGACGAGGUCAAUUUGAUGUUGAUUUCCAUAGAAAUUUCUCCGAAUACGAGAAUGGUUUUGGAGGCUCAACCACCAUGUCAGACUUUUGGCUGGGAUUGAAAACAAUGCAUAACUUGACCAAACAAGGAAAAUGGAAAUUAAGAAUCUGGACGCGGCAAUUCUUAGACAAUCUAGUCAUUUGGGGCGAAUGGGAAGACUUCACGGUCGGCCCUCACCCCUUUUACCGGUUAUCAGUUGGACCAACGGUGGCGAGUAAGAACAUGUGGUACCUUGACGAUGCGGG